CCCUUAUUGACUCUUCUCCAUCUUUUCUUUUCUUCUCAAAUCCCAUCAACUUACUUGCUUCAGUGGUAUUUCACCAAAAUAUAGCCAUUAAAAAGACAUCAACUCAAUCUGUGUGAACAUGUAUGUUUACCCAAGGGUCUGCUUCUGAGACCACUACCAGUGCCAAGAACUACAUCAGCGUGCCCAGUAAGGAAGGGGAAAAAAAAUGCUGUGCUUUAAACCAAGUGGAUUUGAUACAGAAAAUUGAUUAUAGACACAUUAGAAGCCUCAAAGACUACAAAGGGCAUAUUGAGGUGACUCAGAACAUUAAAAACAUGAAGUGGAAGAAAACAAGAUAGUGGUGGGGCCACCAGAACUAUGGUGUCAGAGAAAAGGCCAUAGGUCUCCCAUGAAAGGUUAUAACCUGUGGUUGCCCAAAAAGCAAAUAUCAAAUCUCGUAUUUACUCUACCAAGAGAGCAUGACCCAGCUGUGUUGAUCCUUUUGUGGGGGUGAAGCGAGGCUGGUGCCAGAGCCAACUGUGUGAAUGGAGUGACACUAAUGGGAACUUGAAAGACAGGUCUCUCUUUCCUCCUCCUGCUUUCAUAGCGCUCUAGUACCUCUCACUGGCAAAACCAUUAGCAAAGCCAGAUGUCAAAAGAGUCUGGAAAACUGAGUCUGUAGAAUCACAACCCCAGCAGCAUAGAGCAGACUACAGAUGGGUAAACAGGGAGAAAUAACAGGUAAAUAAGCUGUGUGACAUUUCUCUGUGUUUCUUUUAAGGCCCAUUUAUACUCAUCCCCUCUUCCCUCCAGUUGCCCCACAAAAAGCAUUUCCACUUUAGAAAUCUGAAUGCCUCCACCGGGCCCUGCAGUAUGGGGGGCCCCUUUUCCACAGGUUGGCCAUUCUCCAGCACCAACAGAAGCUCCAUUCUGACUAGAGCUUUCUCAACAGCCUCAGUUGCACAGGUUACUCACUGCUGCGAAGGUACCUCUACAGCCUUCCAGUCUUCCCUCCAGCCGCUUCCUGUUUCCUUCCUUCCUUCCGGUCACCGACAAACUCCUCCAAAUGAGUGGCUCUGCAU
rnacentral:lncRNA from 1 species